rnacentral:lncRNA from 1 species
UGGGGGACCUCCCUUGGGAGAUCAAUCCCCUGUCCUCCUGCUCUUUGCUCUGUGAGAACGAUCCACCUAUGACCUCAGGUCCUCAGACUGACCAGCCCAAGAAACAUCUCACGAAUUUCAAAUCUGAUCUGCUCAGCUUAGCGACUGAAGAUUAAUGCUGCCUGAUCACCUCAGAAGCCCCCUGGACCAUCACAGAUGCCCAACUUCAGGUGACUCUCAAGUGGAGGAUCCCCAGCCACAUGAAGACACCCUAGCUGGACGAUCAGUUCUUGUUAAGAAUCUGAACCCUCAAACUCUACAACCUCGAUGGACCAGACCCUACUUAGUCAUCUGUAGUACCCUGACUGCUGUCUGCCUGCAGGAUCUUCCACACUGGGUUCACCAUUCCAGAAUAAAGCUGUGUCCAUCAGGCAGCCAGCCUAAUCCCUCUCUUCCUCCUGGAAGUCACAAGUACUCUCCCCUACUUCCCUUAAACUCACUCAUAUUUCUGAAGAACAGUAAUAACCCUUAUGAGCCUAAUACAUCCCUUUAUUCUAUUAGGUCUCUCCAUCCUUACCCUACUUUUUGCAGCACAGCUUUAUGAAAUCACCCCCACCAAUUGGGCUGAGCCCCAAAAAGAAACUAUUCAUCCCUACUGUCUUCUAUCUAGUCAUACUCCAUUCUCAACUACCUAUAAAUGCCCUACUCUUAUUUACACUGAUGGUUUACACUGUUUCUUCAAGCCAUCACAGCUGAUAUCUCUUCGUGCUAUCCCCACACCACCACUCUUAAGUCUCUCUUAGAGUGGAUAGAUGAUCUUUACUGGCAGGGCAUCCUCCUAUACUUCCAUCCUGAUGAAGUUCUAUUCUUUACUUUUAUACUCACUCUUAUUCUCGUUCCCAAUCUUAUGCCACCCUCUACCUCUCCCCAGCUAUCUCCACCACACUAUCAACCUUACACAUUCUCUCCUAGCCACUUCUAAUCCCUCCUUAGUGAACAACUGC